CUUACUGUGUAUAAUUCCAAAUCGUUUUCCAGAAUUUGUUGUUGUUCAGGCAUUCCAAUCAUGUCUUACUCUUUAUGACUCCAUUUGGGGUUUUCUUGGCAAAGAUUCUAGAAUGGUUUGCCAUUUUCAUCCCCAGGCCAUUUUACAUAUGAGGAGACUGAGACUUUCCAAAAUGGUUGCACCCAUUUACAGAGUAUUUUUUCAUAAUCCUUCAACAUUCAUCAUUUUCCAUUUUUUGCCAUCUUUGCAAAUCUGACAGUAGAUAUUUGGUUUCACAUCGGGCUCAUUUUCAUUUAGCUGCUUGGCUGGAUUUCUGUUCAGUUUUGGCUUUAAAGGAGGAUAUAAUUCUCUAUGGCCUGAGCACAUGGCCUUGAAGGCAAAGAGAUUCUGAAAUUUUGGCCUUGUUGCUUCCUGGGAUUUUUCAUAGUCUAUUAAAAUAAACCUUUUAAGGUCA